rnacentral:rRNA from 1 species
GACGAACGCUGGCGGCGUGCUUAACACAUGCAAGUCGAACGGUGAAGGGGUCUGCUUUUGUGGGCCCUGGAUGAGUGGCGAACGGGUGAGUAACACGUGAGUAACCUGCCCCCUUCUUCUGGAUAACCGCAUGAAAGUGUGGCUAAUACGGGAUAUUCUGGGUCUGUCGCAUGAUGGGUCUGGGAAAGGUUGCGCCUUUGGGUGUUGUUGGUGGGGGAUGGGCUCGCGGCCUAUCGGCUUGUUGGUAGUGUGAUGGCCUACCAAGGCGGCGGCGGGUAGCCGGGCUGGGAGGGUGGACCGUCACACUUGGACUGCGACACGGCCCAGGCUCCGACGGGAGGCAGCAGUGUGGAAUAUUGCACGAUGGGCGCAAGCCUGAUGCAGCGACGCCGCGUGAGGGAUGGAGGCCUUCGGGUUGUAAACCUCUUUCGCCAGUGAAGCAGGCCUGGUCCUUGUGGGUGGGUUGACGGUAGCUGGAUAAGAAGCGCCGGCUAACUACGUG